AAGUCGUAACAAGGUUUCCGUAGGUGAACCUGCGGAAGGAUCAUUACAAGUCUUGUUGGGGGGUCGUAAGAUUUCCCACGUAAGGUCUCGGGUCCAUUGGAUUUAUCCGUUGGAUUCGCAUGACAUUAGCGCUUGCUUUGUUUGUCAGUUUCAAAAAUACAAAUAUCUUACAUAACUUUUAACAACGGAUCUCUUGGCUCUUGCAACGAUGAAGAACGCAGUCAUGUGCGAUAUGUAGUGCGAUUUGCAUGAAUCUGUGAGUCAUUCAAUCUUUGAACGCAACUUGCGCCGCGUGAGCGGCAUGUCUGUUUGAGGGUCGAAAAAAUGAAAUGUUGUUAUGCAACGAGGUGACAUGUUCCGUUGGGGAUCGUGUUGAAAAGCAGCAAGACAAAGAUGGAGGUGGAUUCGAAUGUGCCAGAGACGUUUGUCUUCUCAUUCGCGUCCAGUCCUGUCUCAACAAACUUACUCUCUGACCUCAAAUCAGACAAGAUUACCCGCUGAACUUAA
rnacentral:rRNA from 1 species